rnacentral:rRNA from 1 species
GACGAACGCUGGCGGCGUACUUAACACAUGCAAGUCGAACGGAAAGGCCCUGCUUUUGUGGGGUGCUCGAGUGGCGAACGGGUGAGUAACACGUGAGUAACCUGCCCUUGACUUUGGGAUAACUUCAGGAAACUGGGGCUAAUACCGGAUAGGAGCUCCUGCUGCAUGGUGGGGGUUGGAAAGUUUCGGCGGUUGGGGAUGGACUCGCGGCUUAUCAGCUUGUUGGUGGGGUAGUGGCUUACCAAGGCUUUGACGGGUAGCCGGCCUGAGAGGGUGACCGGCCACAUUGGGACUGAGAUACGGCUCAGACUCCUACGGGAGGCAGCAGUGGGGAAUAUUGCACAAUGGGCGGAAGCCUGAUGCAGCAACGCCGCGUGCGGGAUGACGGCCUUCGGGUUGUAAACCGCUUUCGCCUGUGACGAAGCGUGAGUGACGGUAAUGGGUAAAGAAGCACCGGCUAACUACGUG